rnacentral:rRNA from 1 species
UAGGGAAUCUUCGGCAAUGGACGGAAGUCUGACCGAGCAACGCCGCGUGAGUGAAGAAGGUUUUCGAAUCGUAAAGCUCUGUUGUAAGAGAAGAACGAGUGUGAGAGUGGAAAGUUCACACUGUGACGGUAACUUACCAGAAAGGGACGGCUAACUACGUGCCAGCAGCCGCGGUAAUACGUAGGUCCCGAGCGUUAUCCGGAUUUAUUGGGCGUAAAGCGAGCGCAGGCGGUUAGAUAAGUCUGAAGUUAAAGGCUGUGGCUUAACCAUAGUACGCUUUGGAAACUGUUUAACUUGAGUGCAGAAGGGGAGAGUGGAAUUCCAUGUGUAGCGGUGAAAUGCGUAGAUAUAUGGAGGAACACCGGUGGCGAAAGCGGCUCUCUGGUCUGUAACUGACGCUGAGGCUCGAAAGCGUGGGGAGCAAACAGGAUUAGAUACCCUGGUAGUCCACGCCGUAAACGAUGAGUGCUAGGUGUUGGGUCCUUUCCGGGACUCAGUGCCGCAGCUAACGCAUUAAGCACUCCGCCUGGGGAGUACGACCGCAAGGUUG